CUUGGUGAUGAAAGCGGGCUGGUAAAACCUCUUCCCAUUCCGAACAGAGAAGUUAAACGGCCUAGCGCUAAUGGUAGUUGGGGCUUAAGCCCUAGCGAGAGUAGGCUGUCGCCAAGA
rnacentral:rRNA from 1 species